rnacentral:piRNA from 1 species
UAGCCAAAAUAUCGCCUGAAUAAACCGAGU